AAAUUAACAUGCCAUUCAACCCCCUCUCUCUCUGUCUGUCUCUGCGGUGGCGUGCGUGGCUGCCGCUAGUCAAAAAUAAUAGGGGUCGCGACAUUGCGGACACUUGAGAGUUUAAAUAAUUAGAGGGGCUGGUGUAUUUCACAACUGCGCCUCAAUCUGCGCUGUGCUUCUUGUACAACUACCUUCGUUUCUUCAACACAAAAGAGCCCUGGGGAGUGACACCUCUCCGUCCCGAUUCUGUUGUUGCGCCGAUUGGCUGCUGCGAUACAUGUCUGAUAUGGAUGUCGAUUCUCCCUCCGAGUUCAGUUCCCCUUCACCUCGGGAUCGAAUUAUACGGAGGCUUGCUCAACAAGGGUUUCCUAUGGAGGGACUUGAUCAACUCCAGCUCGGUUUAGUUGUCUAUGUCAAGAAUAACAAGUUCCGGAUGCCAGAGCUUGUGUCUGCCAUCUUACAGGUUGAUGAGGAUGUGAUGGAGGCCAUUCAGGCCAAGUCUGAUUCUGAAAAUGAUCCAGUUUACCCAGGCCUGAGAGCUAUUCUUCAUGAAAGCAUGGUUUGGUUGCAGUGGUUGAUGUUUGAGGGUGAACCCAGGGUUGCCCUAAAGGGUCUCUCUGACAUAAGUGUGGGUCAGCGUGGUGUUUGCGGGGCUGUUUGGGGUAACAACGAUCUGGCAUAUCGUUGUCGAACGUGUGGGCAUGAUCCAACUUGUGCAAUUUGUGUUCCUUGUUUCCAGAAUGGGAACCACAAGGGCCAUGACUAUUCUAUCAUCUAUACAGGCGGUGGUUGCUGUGAUUGUGGGGAUGUAACUGCAUGGAAACGUGAAGGCUUUUGUUCAAAGCACAGGGGUGUGGAGCAGAUACAACCUCUCUCAGAGGAGUACACAAAAUCCAUGGGGCCUGUUCUUGAUGCUCUUCUUAUCUGUUGGAGGAACAAACUGUUGUUUGCAGAAACUCUCUCUGAGGAACUUGGAGUAAAUAAUUGUUAUGAGCAUAGGGAAGUUGCAGAUGAGCUAGCUUUUGUGAUCAUUGAGAUGCUUCUUGAGUUUUGCCACUACAGUGAAAGCUUGCUAAGCUUUGUUGCUAGGAAGGUGUUCUCAACAGUUGGUUUAUUGGAUCUUCUGGUUAAGGCCGAGGAAUAUUUGGGAAAAGAUGCUGUUAAUAAGCUUCAUGAGUUGCUCUUGAAAUUGCUGGGUGAACCUGCCUUUAAGUACGAGUUUGCAAAAGCAUUUAUAAGUUAUUACCCAAUUUUUGUGAAUAAAGUGUGCAAGGAUAUCUCACUCAAAGAUAAUCUGCUAUUAUCUACAUUCUCUGUGCAAAUUUUCACAGUGCAAACUUUAACGCCAUGUCUUGUUGAGGAGAUGAAUCUAUUGGAAAUGCUAUUGGGAUGCUUGGAAGACAUUUUCAUUUCAUGUGCCGGUGAAGAUGGUCGAUUACAGGCUAGUAAAUCAGGGAAUUUGUAUGAAACCAUUGUUCGGGUUGUUGGAGAUAUUCAAUUUGUUCUAAGCCAUGAUGAAGUAAUCAAAUAUGUGAUCCUUGACCACCGACAUAUCUUAAGAAGUUGGAUGAGACUCUUGGCUUUUGUGCAAGGGAUGAAUCCUCAAAAGAGGGAAACAGGCAUCCAUGUUGAAGAAGAAAAUGAGAAUACAUCUUUUCCAUUUGGUUUAUGUCUCUCUUUUGCAACCAUCCAUUCGUUGUUGGUGGCUGGGGCAUUUUCUGUAUCUACUACUGAAGAGGACAGUUCAACUCCUUUGACCAUUAAUGAACGAGAUUUGGAUGAUAAAGAUAGCAUAAGACAUGCAAAAGUUGGGCGGCUUUCCCAGGAAAGCUCUGUGUGUAGUACUGCAGGGAGUAGCAUCUUGGGGUGUACAGUGAAGACUGCUGAAUCGAAAUCAGAAACUGUUUCACAUCUUCCGAUCCCAUCGACUGUCAUAUGGUUGAUAUUUGAGUGCUUGAGGGCUCUUGAAAAUUGGUUGGGUGGGGAUAAGAAUCUGCUUACUAUGGUAUCUCCAAAUAUUAAUAACACAUGUUCUAGUAAUUUCUUAGCACUGAAGAAAACAUUAUCAAAAAUUAGGAAGGGAAAAUAUAUAUUUAAACUUACUGGUUCAAGUAAAUCUCAGAGUAUGAAAUGUUCUUCACCUCACAGUGGUUCGAAUAUGAGUUGUGACAUGGAGAAUGGGCAAUGCACAGCACAGGACAGUAAAUCAAUUAAUACCAAUAUGGAUAAUGCUAGUAAUCCUUAUGGUGAUCCUGCAGGUUUUGAUGGUAGUGCUACAGAAGGGGAAUAUGGCAUUGACUUAGAUGCUUUGCAUGUUCUAAGUUUGUCAUAUUGGCCUGAUAUAACUUAUGAUGUUAGUUCACAGGACAUAUCAGUGCACAUCCCUUUACAUCGAUUACUUUCAUUGUUUCUACAAAAAGCAUUGAGAAAUUGUUAUGGUGAAUCUGCAUUGCCAGAUGUGAGUAGUGCUAGUUGUGCUAAUCCAGUGUCAGCAAUGCACUGUGACUUCUUUGGACAUGCUCUUGUAGGCUGCCAUCCAAAUGGGUUUUCGGCCUUUGUUAUGGAGCAUCCUCUGCGAAAUAGGGUAUUUUGUGCUGAGGUUCAUGCUGGCAUGUGGCGGAAGAAUGGGGAUUCUGUCCUGUUGUCUUGUGGAUCAUAUCGUUCAGUUCGUUGGGGUGGACAAGAUUUAGAGCUUGAUCUAUUUCUGCUGCAGUGCUGUGCUGCGUUGGCCCCAGCUGAUUUUUAUGCCACUAGGAUUUUAGAACGAUUUGGGUUAUCGUGCUACCUUUCUCUGAAUCCUGAAUUUUCCAGUGAGUAUGAACCAGUUUUAGUGCAGGAAAUGCUUAUUCUUCUCAUCCAAAUAGUUAAAGAAAGGGGAUUUUGUGGAUUAACUACAGCUGAAAGUUUGAAGAGGGAGUUGGUUUAUAGGCUAUCGAUUGGAGAUGCAACUCAUAGUCAGUUGAUGAAAUUCCUCCCUCGUGAUCUAUCCAAAAGUGAUCAACUUACUGAAAUUUUGAGUACUGUUGCACUGUAUUCCAAUCCCUCUGGCAUGAAGCAGGGGAUGUAUUCACUGCAGUGGAAUUUUUGGAAAGAACUGGAUUUAUACCAUCCCCGUUGGAAUUCAAGGGACUUGCAAGUUGCAGAGGAAAGAUAUUUGCGCUUCUGUAGUGUUUCUCCAUUAACCACUCAGCUUCCAAAAUGGACAAAAAUUUAUCCUCCUCUUAAAGGAGUAGCUCGAGUAGCUACGUGUAGAACUGUCUUUCAAAUUAUCCGUUCUGUGAUAUAUUAUGCUGUUAUUUCUGUGAUUGCUGAUAAAUUUACGAUAUCACGGGCUCCUGAUACAGUUCUUCUUACAGCAUUGCACUUACUUGCUCUAGCACUAGACAUUUGUGCUCUUCAGAAGAAUGUUAAUGGCACUUCAUGUUUCGUUGAGGAUGCAAUUCCCAUGCUAGCAUUUGCUGUUGAAGAGAUUGGUGAGGGAGUAAAUAAUAUAUCUAGUGACCAAUGUUUGUUGUCCCUUCUUGUUUCAUUGAUGAGGUUGCGUAAGGAUGAAGAUGUAGGUUACCAUAUGGAAGCAGGAAGUUGCAAUAUAUCUUCUUUAAUUGAAAGUUUGUUGAAGAAGUUCGCUGAGGUUGAUUCCAGAUGCAUGACAAAACUGCAGAAACUAGCACCUGAAGUGGUCAAUCAUUUAGUUCAAUCCUUUCCAAACAGUGAUACAAAUAUUUUGGGGUCUGCUUCUGAUGGUGAGAAGCGCAAGGCAAAAGCACGAGAGAGACAGGCUGCUAUAUUGGAAAAAAUGAAGGCUGAGCAAUCCAAAUUUUUGGAGAGUAUUAAGUCCUCUUCUGAUGAUGGGUUGAAUUGUCCUGUACCAGAUCAAAAAGUAUGUGAAUCUGAUGAUGGAAAUGAUUCGGAAGAGUCUGUACAGGAUGUUUGCUCUCUUUGCCGUGAUCCUAAUUCUAGAAGUUCUGUAUCUUACCUGAUUCUUCUUGAGAAAUCGAAGCUAUUGAGUUUUGUGGACAGAGGUCCCCCAUCAUGGGAGCAAGUUCACCAGCCAAACAGGAUGCGUUCUACAAGUUCCACAAACAAGAUAGUUGAUCAAUCUGAAAGUAGCACUUUCUUUGGCAGUUCAGGAAUGAUUUUAUCUUCCGAGUUGGUUCAGAAAGCUCUGAAUGAGUUAGCCUCCGGUGGACAACCAGGCGAUGUGAAUGCCUUUCUAGAGUUCAUCCGGACUCGUUAUCCUGCAUUGAGAAAUAUUCAAAAGCCUUGCGGAUCCAGUAAAAAAAGGGAGGGUAUUGCAUAUUCCUUUGAGAUAGUAGAAGAAGAUAUGUACUUCUCUAUUCAAAGUGAAAUGCAGGAUAAUUUAAAUAUUGCAGAAGAUGAAAAAAAAUUUUCAAUUGCUGAACUGUGUACAAGAAACAGCAGGAAUACUGAAUCCAUUUUGCUUGGAAAAUAUAUGGCUGCUAUUUCAAGAGAGAUGAUGGAAAAUUGCUUGGGUUCUCAGACUUCCCAUAAAAAAGAUAAUAGUUCACCAUCAGAAAUUUCUGCACCAUUUCCAUCAUAUGAUGGCUUUGGCCCCUGUUCCUCUGAUGGAGUUUUUAUUUCUUCCUGUGGGCAUGCUGUGCAUCAGGGAUGUCUUGAUCGUUAUUUAUCUUCCCUGAAGGAAAGAUAUAGUAGAAGAAUUUCGUUUGAAGGAGGGCAUAUUGUUGAUCCAGAUAAGGGUGAAUUCCUUUGUCCUGUAUGCCGUCGUUUUGCAAAUUCAGUCUUGCCUGGAUUACCUGGGGGUUCUCAGAAGAUUUGGAAGAAGCCUAAAAUUUUGAGCAGCACUUCAAAACAAUUUUCAGGUGGUUUGGACUUAUUUAGCCAGGGAAAUGUUUUACUUAAGCUUCGGAAAGCAUUGUCUCUCUUGCAAAGUGCGGCCAAUGUAAUUGGGAAGGAUGAGAUAUAUAAAACUUUUCCUAUGCGUAGAAGUGGAAGGGUAAAUCCAAACCUUGAGCCUUUCUUUCGUGUACUCUGUGGAAUGUAUUUUACCGGCAAAGAGGAUAAAUUGUCACAAUCAGCAAGGGUUAGCCAGACAAUGAUUAUGUGGGACACACUCAAAUAUUCCCUCAUAUCAAUGGAAGUUGCUGCUCGUUCUUCGAAGAUUCAAUUGACCCCUACAUAUGACCUUAAUGCCUUGUAUAAAGGACUUGAGUCUUCAAAUGGAUUUAUACUAUCAUUGUUGCUAAAAACUGUGCAGCGUAUGCGUAGUAAGAACAUUAUCCACGUGCUUCAAAGAUUUAUAGGUAUUCAGAUGUUUGCGGAAUCUAUUUGCUCUGUGACUUAUAUGGAUGAACCUCCUAGUGGUGUUUGUAGACAUGGAGAUAAUAUGCUACGUAUCCUGAAUUAUGAUGAAAUGGAAAUACCAUACCCUGACAUUCAAUUUUGGAAGCGAGCUUCUGAUCCUGUCCUUUCUCACGACCCAUUUUCAUCACUGAUGUGGGUCCUAUUCUGUUUACCAUAUCCAUUUCUUUCAUGCGAGGAGUCAGUCUCAUGUCUUGUCCAUUUAUUCUAUGCUGUCUCUGUAGCCCAGGCCAUAAUCACAUAUUGCUGUAAAUAUCCAUCCAAGAUAAGUGAAUUAGGUUUUCAAGAUUGCUUGAUUACUGACAUUUGCAAAGUUUUGGGAGAGGGUGGAAUUGCUCAGCAAUAUUUUGUUUCAAGUUACAUCAGCCCUUCUGAUAAUAUUAAGGAUAUAAUUCGCAGCUUGAGUUUCCCAUAUCUGCGAAGGUGUGCAUUGCUGUGCAAACUAGUAAGCUUAUCCACUUCAGCACCUUUCUGUGAUGCUGCUACUGUGUCAGAAGGCUUUUCUAGUGCCAUAGAUGCCAUGAUGGAUAAUGCAAAUGGGAUCAUGGUGGAGUUAACUGAAGUUGAAAAGUUGGAGAGCAUGUUUAAGAUUCCUGCACUUGAUGUUGUUUUGAAGGAUGAAGUACUACGUUCCUCAGUCAUGCAAUGGUUCCGUCAUUUCCGCAAGGAAUUUGAAGUUCAUGGUCCUGAGUGUGUCCUAUAUUCCACUCCUGCAGUUCCAUUUAAGUUGAUGCAGCUGCCUCAUGUCUACCAGGAUAUCUUGGAGAGGUAUAUAAAACAGAGAUGCCCUGACUGUGAGCCUGCAUUAUGCCUGUUGUGUGGGAGAUUAUGCUCAGCAAGCUUGAAGCCAUGCUGCAGGGAAAGUGGGUGCCAAACUCAUGCAAUGGCCUGUGGCUCCGGUACAGGAGUAUUCCUCUUGAUUAGAAAAACAACAGUUCUUCUUCAAAGAUCUGGACGUCGGGCCCCUUGGCCUUCUCCCUACUUGGAUGCAUUUGGCGAAGAGGACAUUGAAAUGCUGAGAGGGAAACCACUAUAUUUGAAUGAGGAACGCUAUGCAGCUCUAACUCACAUGGUGGCGUCUCAUGGCCUUGAUCAAAGUUCUAAGGUUCUUGGUCAAACUACUAUUGGUGCUUUCUUCAUGAUUUAGUUUGGAAUUUCUUUUUAGGAGUCUCUUGGAAAGUUAAUAGAGAAUUUAGAAACUGAUUGAUGUGAAGAGAUGAGAAAUGGUUCUUCAAAUGCCAAGAUCAUGAAAAAAAUUGAUUGUAUCUUCAAGUUGCUGCAGUAUUGUAACUACCUCAGGCUUUAUUAUGGCAUGUCAUGGUUGGUUGCACCAUGUUUCAUUAAGGUACAUUUUUGCUGCCCAUGAGAGGAGGAUAUGACCUAGAUGGGAGAUUUGUUUGCUGGCAAUAGCUACCUCACUCACAUCCUCCAGGUUGUACAGUUCCUCAUUGUGCAUAAAUAAUGCUCGGUGUGCUUGUUAGGCCUGCGUCUGUGUUUGUUGUAUUAUUGAGUCUUCCAUCAAGCUGUUUUAACUUGUACGGCCAUUUCAGUUGGCUGCACUAGCUACUAGCUUGGCUUUGUUGUAUUACUGAAUCCUCCAUCAAACUGCUCAAUAUGUACAGCCAUUUCCAUGGGGAGCAAUUGUUUUAAUGGUCAAUAGCGUUUACUUUUCUUUU